GUAGAGAUGACUUACAACUAUGAUAAUAUGAAACUAAGUAGGAACUCCAUUCAAUCUCUAUAUUUUUAUUCUCUUUAAAGUCUUGGAAAGAGUAUAAUUAUGUAGAAUUAUCUCAAACUUUGUAAUUAGUUUCCUUUCUAUAAAAAUUUUAAAUAGUUAGCAUCUUUGAUAUAUAUUUUUGUUAUUAGCAUUUAGAAUACAAUUAGACUCAAGUUGAAG
rnacentral:lncRNA from 1 species